rnacentral:lncRNA from 1 species
UCUGCGACUGCGAGGAGCGAGCCGAGGUGUGCGAGGCGCGGGCAGACUUCCCCGGAGGUGAGAGCUCUGCAGCAGACGAGGGCAGGAAAGCAAAAACUCUUUCUCCUGAUUCACCAGAAAAACACUGACCACCAUCUUCGCUGCGAGGAGGUUGGCAGAGUCUUAGGAACUAAAGCCUUUAAACAAUCAGGGACCUCAUGUCUCUAGAAUAAGAACACACCAGAAGCCCCUUGUGCUGGGACUGGAGGUAAGUACUCCUGAUGAAAAU